rnacentral:rRNA from 1 species
UACGUAGGGAGCGAGCGUUGUCCGGAUUCAUUGGGCGUAAAGAGCUCGUAGGCGGCUUGAUAAGUCGGAUGUGAAACCUCCAGGCUCAACCUGGAGUCGCCAUCCGAUACUGUCAUGGCUAGAGUCCGGUAGGGGCCCACGGAAUUCCUGGUGUAGCGGUGAAAUGCGCAGAUAUCAGGAGGAACACCGGUGGCGAAGGUGGUGGGCUGGGCCGGCACUGACGCUGAGGAGCGAAAGCGUGGGGAGCGAACAGG